AACUGCAUUUGAAACUGGUGAACUAGAGUGCUGUAGAGGGGGGUAGAAUUUCAGGUGUAGCGGUGAAAUGCGUAGAGAUCUGAAGGAAUACCAGUGGCGAAGGCGGCCCCCUGGACAGACACUGACACUCAGAUGCGAAAGCGUGGGGAGCAAACAGGAUUAUAUACCCUGGUAGUCCACGCCGUAAACGAUGUCUACUUGGAGGUUGUGGCCUUGAGCCGUGGCUUUCGGAGCUAACGCGUUAAGUAGACCGCCUGGGGAGUACGGACGCAAGAUUAAAACUCAAAUGAAUUGACGGGGGCCCGCACAAGCGGUGGAGCAUGUGGUUUAAUUCUUUGCAACGCGAAUAACCUUACCUACUCUUGACAUCCAGAGAAGCCAGCGGAGACGCAGGUGUGCCUUCGGGAACUCUGAGACAGGUGCUGCAUGGCUGUCGUCAACUCGUGUUGUGAAAUGUUGGGUUAAGUCCCGCAACGAGCGCAACCCUUAUCCUUGUUUGCCAGC
rnacentral:rRNA from 1 species